rnacentral:rRNA from 1 species
AACGAACGCUGGCGGCAGGCUUAACACAUGCAAGUCGAACGCCCGUAGCAAUACGGGAGUGGCGGACGGGUGAGUAACGCGUGGGAACGUGCCCUGAGGUACGGAAUAACUGCGGGAAACUGCAGCUAAUACCGUAUGAGCCCCCGCAAGGGGGGAAAGAUUUAUCGCCUUGGGAGCCGGCCCGCGUCGGAUUAGCUAGUUGGUGGGGUAACGGCCUACCAAGGCUUCGAUCCGUAGCUGGGUCUGAGAGGACGAUCAGCCACACUGGGACUGAGACACGGCCCAGACUCCUACGGGAGGCAGCAGUGGGGAAUCUUGCGCAAUGGGGGCAACCCUGACGCAGCCAUGCCGCGUGAAUGAUGAAGGCCUUAGGGUUGUAAAGUUCUUUUGCCCGUGACGAUGAUGACGGUAACGGGAGAAUAAGCUCCGGCUAACUUCGUG